GCCGGAGUAGCUCAGUGGUUUAGAGCGCUGCCCUGAAGAGGCAGGCGUCGGCAGUUCGAUUCUGCCCUCCGGCACCA
rnacentral:tRNA from 1 species